GCAGUCGAGCGGUAGCACAGAGAGCUUGCUCUCGGGUGACGAGCGGCGGACGGGUGAGUAAUGUCUGGGAAACUGCCUGAUGGAGGGGGAUAACUACUGGAAACGGUAGCUAAUACCGCAUAAUGUCGCAAGACCAAAGUGGGGGACCUUCGGGCCUCAUGCCAUCAGAUGUGCCCAGAUGGGAUUAGCUAGUAGGUGGGGUAACGGCUCACCUAGGCGACGAUCCCUAGCUGGUCUGAGAGGAUGACCAGCCACACUGGAACUGAGACACGGUCCAGACUCCUACGGGAGGCAGCAGUGGGGAAUAUUGCACAAUGGGCGCAAGCCUGAUGCAGCCAUGCCGCGUGUGUGAAGAAGGCCUUCGGGUUGUAAAGCACUUUCAGCGGGGAGGAAGGCGGUAAGGUUAAUAACCUUGUCGAUUGACGUUACCCGCAGAAGAAGCACCGGCUAACUCCGUGCCAGCAGCCGCGGUAAUACGGAGGGUGCAAGCGUUAAUCGGAAUUACUGGGCGUAAAGCGCACGCAGGCGGUCUGUCAAGUCGGAUGUGAAAUCCCCGGGCUCAACCUGGGAACUGCAUUCGAAACUGGCAGGCUAGAGUCUUGUAGAGGGGGGUAGAAUUCCAGGUGUAGCGGUGAAAUGCGUAGAGAUCUGGAGGAAUACCGGUGGCGAAGGCGGCCCCCUGGACAAAGACUGACGCUCAGGUGCGAAAGCGUGGGGAGCAAACAGGAUUAGAUACCCUGGUAGUCCACGCCGUAAACGAUGUCGAUUUGGAGGUUGUGCCCUUGAGGCGUGGCUUCCGGAGCUAACGCGUUAAAUCGACCGCCUGGGGAGUACGGCCGCAAGGUUAAAACUCAAAUGAAUUGACGGGGGCCCGCACAAGCGGUGGAGCAUGUGGUUUAAUUCGAUGCAACGCGAAGAACCUUACCUGGUCUUGACAUCCACAGAACUUUCCAGAGAUGGAUUGGUGCCUUCGGGAACUGUGAGACAGGUGCUGCAUGGCUGUCGUCAGCUCGUGUUGUGAAAUGUUGGGUUAAGUCCCGCAACGAGCGCAACCCUUAUCCUUUGUUGCCAGCGGUUAGGCCGGGAACUCAAAGGAGACUGCCAGUGAUAAACUGGAGGAAGGUGGGGAUGACGUCAAGUCAUCAUGGCCCUUACGACCAGGGCUACACACGUGCUACAAUGGCAUAUACAAAGAGAAGCGACCUCGCGAGAGCAAGCGGACCUCAUAAAGUAUGUCGUAGUCCGGAUUGGAGUCUGCAACUCGACUCCAUGAAGUCGGAAUCGCUAGUAAUCGUAGAUCAGAAUGCUACGGUGAAUACGUUCCCGGGCCUUGUACACACCGCCCGUCACACCAUGGGAGUGGGUUGCAAAAGAAGUAGGUAGCUUAACCUUCGGGAGGGCGCU
rnacentral:rRNA from 1 species